rnacentral:rRNA from 1 species
GAUGAACGCUGGCGGCGUGCCUAAUACAUGCAAGUCGAGCGAACAGACGAGGAGCUUGCUCCUCUGACGUUAGCGGCGGACGGGUGAGUAACACGUGGAUAACCUACCUAUAAGACUGGGAUAACUUCGGGAAACCGGAGCUAAUACCGGAUAAUAUAUUGAACCGCAUGGUUCAAUAGUGAAAGACGGUUUUGCUGUCACUUAUAGAUGGAUCCGCGCCGCAUUAGCUAGUUGGUAAGGUAACGGCUUACCAAGGCGACGAUGCGUAGCCGACCUGAGAGGGGGAUCGGCCACCCUGGAACUGAGACACGGUCCAGACUCCUACGGGAGGCAGCAGUAGGGAAUCUUACGCAAUGGGCGAAAGCCUGACGGAGCAACGCCGCGUGAGUGAUGAAGGUCUUCGGAUCGUAAAACUCUGUUAUUAGGGAAGAACAAAUGUGUAAGUAACUAUGCACGUCUUGACGGUACCUAAUCAGAAAGCCACGGCUAACUACGUG